AGGACGAACGCUGGCGGCGCGCCUAAGUACAUGCAAGUCGAACGGCCACGCUUCGGUGUGGCAGUGGCGGACGGGUGAGUAACACGUGGGUGACCUGCCUUCUAGUGGGGAAUAACCCUGGGAAACCAGGGCUAAUACCGCAUACGCUUGGUGCUUCAUUGCGCCAAGUAAAGAUUAAUCGCUAGAAGAGGGGCCUGCGGCGGAUUAGCUAGUCGGUGGGGUAACGGCUUACCGAGGCAACGAUCCGUAGCUGGUCUGAGAGGACGACCAGCCACACUGGGACUGAGACACGGCCCAGACUCCUACGGGAGGCAGCAGUAAGGAUAUUCCACAAUGGGCGCAAGCCUGAUGGAGCGACGCCGCGUGAGCGAAGAAGCCCUUCGGGGUGUAAAGCUCUUUCCCAGAGAUGAGAAUGGACAGUAUCUGGGGAAUAAGCCUCGGCUAACUACGUGCCAGCAGCCGC
rnacentral:rRNA from 1 species